GACGUAGGGGGCCAGCGUUGUUCGGAAUUACUGGGUGUAAAGGGUUCGUAGGCGGUGUAGCAAGUCGGGAGUGAAAUCUCUGGGCUUAACCCAGAGGCUGCUUCCGAAACUGCUGUGCUUGAGUGUGGGAGAGGCGCGUGGGAUUGCAGGUGUAGCGGUGAAAUGCGUAGAUAUCUGCAGGAACACCCGUGGCGAAAGCGGCGCGCUGGACCACUACUGACGCUGAGGAACGAAAGCUAGGGGAGCAAACAGG
rnacentral:rRNA from 1 species